UACGUAGGAGGCGAGCGUUGUCCGGAAUUACUGGGCGUAAAGAGCUCGUAGGCGGUCUGUCGCGUCUGCUGUGAAAACUCGGGGCUUAACCCCGGGCCUGCAGUGGGUACGGGCAGACUAGAGUGCGGUAGGGGAGACUGGAAUUCCUGGUGUAGCGGUGAAAUGCGCAGAUAUCAGGAGGAACACCGGUGGCGAAGGCGGGUCUCUGGGCCGUAACUGACGCUGAGGCGCGAAAGCGUGGGGAGCGAACAGG
rnacentral:rRNA from 1 species